CAAGGUGCGUCCGACCCAUUUGAGGCCCACAAGCCAGCGAGAUCCGGCUCCCCCGUUUUCUUCCUCGCCGUCCGCGGUGCGCCCCUCCCCAUUUCGCUCUCCACCGCUCUACCGCAGCCGCAAGCCCGCAAAGAAGGAACUGAAUCCGCGAUUCACCGAUCCCCAUUCGAUCCGUAGCCAUGGCCUCCUCCACCACCACCGCCGUCGACUGCCCGUGGGACGCCCUCCCGUCGCACCUCCAGGAGCGCAUCCUUUCCCUCAUCCCCGUCACCGAGCUGCUCCCCGUCGCCGCCGCCUCUCGCGCGCUCCGCCGCCUCCUCCGCUCCCCGGCCUUCCACGCCCUCCUCUCCCCGCACCGCCUCGACGCCUUCUUCCUCAUCACCCCACGGCUCGCCGUCCACCCGCUCUCCCGCCGCGUCCUCCGCACGCCCCAGCUCGCUGCGCUCUGCCCCCCUUCCUAUCCGCUCGUCUCCUCCGCGUCCCCCUCCCGCCUCAUCACCUACGCCACGCUCCACUCCCUCCCGCCGAUCCCCGACGGCUCCUACCUCCUCUCCGUCGUCGUCCAGCCGGCCCCCUCCUCCUCCUGCAUCCUCGUCGCCGUCACCACCGGCGCGGCCGUGCGCUCGUAUACCCUGGACGCCGAUGAUCCCUCCCGGCAGUGGGCGUCUAGAGGCGAUCUCCCGGUGUCUAUCUCGCUCCUGGGAAAUGCCGCAGUCGCUGGCGAUCGCAGUCAGCUCUUCGUCCUCGGCCGUGGCCCCGACGCUCUCUUGGUGUUCAAUCUCGCGACGGGGACGUGGGAGGUGCUGCUGGUUGUGAUGCCACAAGGUCUCACUACAGCGCACCUGUUUGUGUAUGAUGGGAGGCUGUUCAUGGUUGGUGGGGUGGAGAGGUUGGGGGAGGUGGAACGGGUGGUGGUGUGGCGGCUGGAGGACGGGAAGGAGGUGAUGUUAUGGAGGGAGGUGGGUGUGAUGCCAGUGGAGGUGUUCGAUGAGUUGGUGGCUGGUCGGCAUGGAAGUUUCUGGCAUUUUCAGGCCGCGGACAGAUUGGGGAUUGUUUGCUUGUACAAUGUUGUGGAUGGUAGGCUGGUCAUGUUUGAUGCGGCUGAUGGUUUGUGGACAGUGCUGCCACGAGUGUCCGGGAUGGAUGCAGAGGAGAGUGGCAGGUGGUUUGGACAUGUCCUGGAGCCGGGAGUUGAGCUCUUGCUGGGACAACACCACCGGUGAUGAUAAGGGUCGCCGGUGGUUGAUAUAGUUUGUACAGGCAGACACCUGCGGACCUGCCCACUGCUUUUCUUCAGAGUCAUCCUUUCUUUGUAUGCGGUGGCUCUAUUUUUGAAUAGACAUGGAAAUAUAAGUGCUGCAGAUUGCUCGAGUCGUGCGCACUCUAGGGGUGCAGUUGGUACUGUUGUUGGCAUAUUUAAGUUUUAAGUGCUGGCCCUGUAUGUUGUGGCACUUGCCGCAUGUGGCUCCAUUGUAAUAUACUCCCUUUGUCCUGAAAUACAAGGCAUCCUAGAGAUUUUUAGAACAUAUUAGCAGAAGUAGCAAAAGACGCAUGUACCCUGAAUUAAUGGCAUGGCAUGUACCCUGAAUUAAUGGCUUAGUAGGUUAAAUUUGACUAUGUAAGUGGUGGUGUUUGUGUUUUAUAUUAGGGCAGUAGUGUGGGUUGACAGUGUGCUGCCAUUGACAGUAGCGUUGAUGUUAUAAUUUGCUUUAAAUUGCUUUACAAUCGGCCAGUGUUGUUAUUUGCUUCAAA